rnacentral:lncRNA from 10 species
GCCCAAGUUACCCACAUUUCUGCCCAGCUGACUACAAAUUCUGGUUUCCAUGACCCCCUCUCAGGUUUGAUAGUUUGCUAGAACAACUCACAAAGUGAAGGAAAAUGGUGUACUUACUAUUACUGGCUUAUUAUAAAGGCUACAACUCAGAAACAGCCAAACGGAGGAGAUGCACAGAGCAAGGUGACCAGUCCGCAUCCUGAUACUAUCUCGGAGUCCCCCAGCCAAGAAUCAUCUCAUCAGCAUAAACUCAGGCAAUGUUGAAAGGCAUUCAGAAUGGUACUGGCCAUGUAACAUCCUCAGGAAAAUGGAGAAAGGAGUCACAUCAUCUUCUGUGUUUGGAGACUGCUAUGUAAGCCAGAAUACUAGUCACACAGUGCAGGUGGGAGCGGCCGGGAAGUAACCUCCUUUUUUUUUAAGACUAAUACAUUUAUGGUAUACACCUGAAU